GAAGAGUCAAGUCGUGGCCAUGUGGGGCCUGAGGGGAAGGUGCAAGGCUGGCAAAAGGGAGCUCUGGAGGAGAGGGAGGAAGGGACGAGAGGCUGCAUCAGGCUGCAUCCACACUGGAGAAAUAACCAGUCAUUGUGCAGCAAGAAGAAAAAUCUUCCAAUGCCAACAGGACAGACAAGCAAGCAUCCAAGUUUUCCCUGCAAAUGGAAAACUUAGCUGUGACAAAUUUCUUUCCCUGUCCAUUCCUCUAUUAUAAUUGUCUCUGAGUAAGAACAUGCCCAAACAUGCCAGCCUUCUGGAGACUCCAAAAUUUACAACUGACAACACAUUCCAGUAAAACUUCCAGCAAACACCUGGAGGAUGCCAUCAAAACUGACAUACAGGUCAAAGUCAUCCCAAGCUUUUGCAUUUACUUCUCUGGAAACUGCCCAGCCUCAUUACCAUCACCUUGCUCCCAUUAGUAUCUUUGCUUGUAAAACAAACAUCCAUUGUCUUUAAGAAGAUAGUGUAAAGGUAAGACCAGUGUAAAACAUGGAUGGAAACUGUAUGGCCCUGUAGUUGUGCAAGGUGAAACUUCCAGCAGCCUUAGCCAGCAUAGACAAUGCUGAAUGUUCUACAACAUCUGAACUACCACACAAUUCCCAACCCUGUCUAAAACUAAGGCGUUUAUCAGACAGGGUGUCUGCAGCCCAGAUCUGGGACUUCUGCGGAUUGGGCAAUUCACGUUGACGUGUUAUCCAGAAUGUAUUUCCAUACCUUG